UGUAACCUGUUUAUGCGUAUUUCUAGUGUUCUAGAACGUACAAAUAUAGAAAGAAGACUUUGAGAUAGUCAUCGGACUCUAGAAAAAAACCCACACCUGGUAGCAAAAAUGUGUGUUUCAAAUGUUUUUGCGAGAAAUCUCGAGCCAUAUCUGAUGCCAAGAUAAAAGAAGUUUUCACAUUUCAACUAUUGUCCUGAAAAUGUCGGAGCAGUUAGCGAAGAACAGGAAGAGCGGCUUAACCAGGGCAUUAGACAAAUGGAGAUGGAGCAUAACGAUGAUGGCGGACUACUGCUGCUGCUAUAGCUUUCUGGGAAGAAGACGAAGAUUUCACUCAAAAAGACCUGUGUAUUCACACGCGUCUCGGACGGUUCAAAAACGCAGGAAUAAAUCGGGACGGCGCUCGAAUGAAGUUCCGAGGGCAAAGUAAUUGGUACAUGACGCAAGGCAUUGUUAAAAGUCAAUAAAUCCCCGCGAAGGCGCAAUUACGAUCGACAAUUAACAAAUUAACCGGUCUACGUUGUCGACGGCGCUGCGGGUUUGCAUAAAAUGCCUGUUUAAAUAGUUCUAACGGCAAUUCUACAUCACCGGCCGAUAUAAACAAGCUCGUAGAAAUGGUGAUUGUUUAUGUGAGGUAAUUUUGCGCCUGUCUGCAGCGAUUAAUGCGAUUUGCAUGUCCGAGGUGUCUCGUUAAGCAUCAAAAUGAAGAAAUAUAUAAUUUUUUCUUGGUUAGUGAUUAAUUAAAAUGAAAUUACCGUUAUGAAUAAGGGGCUAUACCUUGGGCCGUAUUUUAUAGGCCAGAAUAUCCAGAAGUAUGGAAACGUGGUCAAGUAUUUCUAAUAUUUAAAAAUAGCGAAAGCCAAAACAUACAUACCGAUGCGAUUUAUACAGAAUGUUCUAUGUUUUGUUAUUAUUAAGUGUUCAAAAGGUAAAAAUAGACUUAUUCGA